rnacentral:rRNA from 1 species
GACGAACGCUGGCGGCGUGCUUAACACAUGCAAGUCGAACGGAAAGGCCCUGCUUUUGUGGGGUGCUCGAGUGGCGAACGGGUGAGUAACACGUGAGUAACCUGCGCUGGACUUUGGGAUAACUUCAGGAAACUGGGGCUAAUACCGGAUAGGAGCUCCUGCUGCAUGGUGGGGGUCGGAAAGUUUCGGCGGUUGGGGAUGGACUCGCGGCUUAUCAGCUUGUUGGUGGGGUAGUGGCUUACCGAGGCUUUGACGGGUAGCCGGCAUGAGAGGGUGACCGGCCACAUUGGGACUGAGAUACGGCCCAGACUCCUACAGGAGGCAGCAGUGGGGAAUAUUGCACAAUGGGCGGAAGCCUGAUGCAGAAACGCCGCGUGCGGGAUGACGGCCUUCGGGUUGUAAACCGCUUUCGCCUGUGACGAAGCGUGAGUGACGGUAAUGGGUAAAGAAGCACCGGCUAACUACGUG